rnacentral:rRNA from 1 species
UACAGAGGACUCAAGCGUUGUUCGGAUUCAUUGGGCGUAAAGGGUGCGUAGGUGGCGAUGUAAGUCUGGUGUGAAAUCUCGGGGCUCAACCUCGAAAUUGCAUUGGAUACUGCGUUGCUUGAGGAUUGUAGAGGAGAGUGGAAUUCACGGUGUAGCAGUGAAAUGCGUAGAUAUCGUGAGGAAGACCAGUUGCGAAGGCGACUCUCUGGGCAAUUCCUGACACUGAGGCACGAAGGCUAGGGGAGCAAACGGG